rnacentral:rRNA from 1 species
GAUGAACGCUGGCGGCGUGCCUAAUACAUGCAAGUCGAGCGAACGGACGAGAAGCUUGCUUUUCUGAUGUUAGCGGCGGACGGGUGAGUAACACGUGGAUAACCUACCUAUAAGACUGGGAUAACUUCGGGAAACCGGAGCUAAUACCGGAUAAUAUUUUGAACCGCAUGGUUCAAAAGUGAAAGACGGUCUUGCUGUCACUUAUAGAUGGAUCCGCGCUGCAUUAGCUAGUUGGUAAGGUAACGGCUUACCAAGGCAACGAUGCAUAGCCGACCUGAGAGGGUGAUCGGCCACACUGGAGCGGAGACGCGGUCCAGACGCCUACGAGAGGCAGCAGUAGGGAAUCUUACGCAAUGGGCGAAAGCCUGACGGAGCAACGCCGCGUGAGGGAUGAAGGUCUUCGGAUCGUAAAACUCUGUUAUUAGGGAAGAACAUAUGUGUAAGUAACUGUGCACAUCUUGACGGUACCUAAUCAGAAAGCCACGGCUAACUACGUG